AUGUUCGGUGCUGGUUUUGACCCCAUAUCAUAAUUUUUAAUGUAAUAAAUUCUUUUGCUUACUUCAUAAUUAUUAAGUUAAUUGGUCGUAAAAAUGGUGCUACUUAGUGGAUGAAACCUCAUCCAGAAUCUUCUACCGAACCAAAACUCUUUAAAUACUAAUCUAUAACACGGCUACAUUACUAUUAAGCUGAUCCGAUCCACCACCACAUCAUAGGUAUUAUUACUCUGAUCUUCCCUUUUCAAGCA